GGGAGAGCCUGUGCCUCAGUUUCCCCAUCACUGCAGUGAGAUGGUGAUGAAAUAACUGAGGUAGCUUCCGUUUAUGAAGCGCCGUGAAGAAUUUGAUGAGCUCGUAAGCCACAAGGUCUUGCCUCCUGAGGAUGAGUCCUGCAGGAGCAGAGACACCAAUCCCACCUGGAAGGGAGAAGAGCCCCGAGCACACAGUGAAGCCAUGGAAUGGAGGGGUGGUGAAACAGGUUCCAUAAGCUCACCCAAGGCAAAGAGGAAAAUAGACUCUUGCUCAGAUGAAGUCAGCUAGAAAUUAUCCUGGGAAUCAGCAUCUCCUUCAGCUGCCUUCGUCACAAAAGCAACAGAACCAAGAGGCUGCCUCACUCGAGCGUCAUGGAGGCAAUUUUUGGGCACUGUGAGGUAACUGUGCUGACUUUGAAGUGACUUUUGAUUUGUACCCCCAGAAGUGAAGAGAGGAGCCAGACACUCAGCUUCUGGAAACAUUCCCACUCCCUGCCCUGUUCAUCAGGACUGCCCCACGGCCGCCUGCGUCUCUCCCUGUUUGCGAGCAGGUGCCGCGGUGUGAGAGACGGCGCCGGGCAGGGCAGCGCCGCUCCGCGCAGCGCAGGGCAAGCACAGCGGCGAGGAUGCUGACGGUGCCCAGCGCUGGGUGCCGCCAAGUCCAGCGGCCACGACAGCCAAAGAACCGCAGAGCCGAGGGAAGCAGCUGGCAGUCUGCGUGGGUUUUGCCGUAGGUGUGACUUUAUGCGGGUGUUUCAAAGUUUCUUCACGCUAAAAAGGAAGAGGAAAAGCAAACUGUUUGCAGAGGUGCAUCUGCUCUUCCGCUUUUGGUCUGCGCUGAGUGAUCAAACGGGACCAGCCCCUCUCGAGUUGCUCCUCCUUGUUUGCUUCCUGGAUGUCUAACAGCAUCCACUGUGAAUCUGCUGCGUGGAUUCCCUCUGGGCAUCUGCAGGAAGUACUCCUAGGAGAGCACUUUGGCUUUGUCCUGCAAGGAAAUGAGGAAAAGAAGAAACACAAGGCCAGUGUGUGCCCUGCUGUGGGCUGGGACAGGCUCCGCUGCUCCUGGGAUGGCUGCCAGACUGCUCCUGGUGGGACCAGCACAGCUUCGCAGGAGGCGGCAGGGCAGGAUUGAACUUGUCUCGACUGCUGUGAGCAGCUGCCUCAGUGCUGUGCCAGGUUUCAGACUGUUCCUCUGUUCAUCUCUUCCAUCACGGGCUCCUCUCUCAGCAGCCAGCUUUGAAAAGGUGAGAACAAUUUGUGACACGUGAUUGAUGGCAGCUUUGCCUCAAAACAGCACUGCCAAAAGCAGUAAGUGGUUGUCCUCUCACUUGGCACUGGUGAGGCCAUUUUUACCAGGGUCCUUGUCCAGCUGCGGUUUCCUAGGGACUGUCAUUUUGUGUCCAGGUGGUGGCUGUCUUAAUAAAAGCAA